rnacentral:misc_RNA from 1 species
GAAAUGCGAUAAGUAGUGUGAAUUGCAGAAUUCAGUGAAUCAUCGAAUCUUUGAACGCACAUUGCGGCCAUAGGUAUUCCUUUGGCCAUGCCUGUUCGAGCGUCAUUUACACCCUCAAGCCUAGCUUGGUGUUGGGCGUCUGUCCCGCUUCGCGCGCGGACUCGCCUCAAAGUCAUUGGCGGCGGUCGUGCCGGCCCCUGAGCGCAGCACAUUUGCGCUUCUCGGAGGCCCGGCGGACCCGCGCUCCAGCAAGACCUUUCUACGACUUGACCUCGGAUCAGGUAGGGAUACCCGCUGAACUUAA